rnacentral:rRNA from 1 species
AUUGAACGCUGGCGGCAUGCUUUACACAUGCGAGUCGAACGGUAACAGGCCUUCGGGUGCUGACGAGUGGCGAACGGGUGAGUAAUGCAUCGGAACGUACCCAGAGGUGGGGGAUAACGCAGCGAAAGCUGUGCUAAUACCGCAUGUGAUCUGAGGAUGAAAGCGGGGGACCGAGCAGCAAUGUUUGGCCUCGCGCCUUUGGAGCGGCCGAUGUCGGAUUAGCUAGUUGGUGGGGUAAAGGCCUACCAAGGCGACGAUCCGUAGCUGGUCUGAGAGGCCGACAAGCCACCCUGGGACUGGGCCACGGCCCAGACUCCUACGGGAGGCAGCAGUGGGGAAUUUUGGACAAUGGGCGCAAGCCUGAUCCAGCAAUGCCGCGUGCGGGAAGAAGGCCUUCGGGUUGUAAACCGCGUUUGGCAGGAACGAAACGGUGUCCGCUAAUACCGGGCGCUAAUGACGGUACCUGCAGAAUAAGCACCGGCUAACUACGUG